UCCGGAUGCUUUGUACAAAGUCCCACAUUGGGAGGUUUUGUAUACAGUAUCCGGAAG
rnacentral:pre_miRNA from 1 species